UGGCUCUCGCAUCGAUGAAGAACGCAGCGAAAUGCGAUAAGUAAUGUGAAUUGCAGAAUUCAGUGAAUCAUCGAAUCUUUGAACGCAUCUUGCGCUCCUUGGUAUUCCGAGGAGCAUGCCUGUUUGAGUGUCAUUUAAAUUAUCAACCUUUACCAGCUUUAUUGCUUGGUUUUAAAGGCUUGGAAGUGGGGGAAAACUUUGCAGGCUUAUUUUUCAAGUCAGCUCUCCUCAAAUAAAUUAGUGGUGCCCUUUGUGGUUAAACAACUAUUGGUAUGAUAACUAUCUAUGCCAUUAGAAUGCCCUUAGGUUGUUGCUGCUUCAAACUGUCUUUAUUGACAAUAUAUGACCAAUUUGACCUCAAAUCAGGUAGGACUACCCGCUGA
rnacentral:misc_RNA from 1 species